rnacentral:rRNA from 1 species
CUGGCGGCGUGCGUUCAUACAUGCAAGUCGAACGAGAAGCAGGAGCGUUGCGUCCUGUGGAAAGUAGGCGGACGGGUGGAGUAACGACGUAGGGAAGUCUAGCCUUUUAGGGAUGGGGACGAACAGUUGGAAACGACUGCUAAACCCGAUAUGAGCUAAGUUGAAAUACUUAUCUUGAAAACUACCGGUGCCUAGAGAUGAGCCUGCGUCUGAUUAGCUUGUUGGCGGGGUAAAUGCCCACCAAGGCGACGAUCAGUAGCUGGUUUGAGAGGAUGAUCAGCCACAAUGGGACUGAGACACGGCCCAUACUCCUACGGGAGGCAGCAGUAGGGAAUUUUGCGCAAUGGGGGAAACCCUGACGCCAGCAACGCCGCGUGGACGAAGAAGCCCUUCGGGGUGUAAAGUUCUGUCAGUAGGGAAGAAACAAUGACUGUACCUACAGAGGAAGCACCGGCUAACUCCGUGCCAGCAGCUGC